UCUCCGUUGGUGAACCAGCGGAGGGAUCAUUACCGAGUUUACAACUCCCAAACCCCUGUGAACAUACCUUACUGUUGCCUCGGCGGAUCAGCCCGCUCCCGGUAAAACGGGACGGCCCGCCAGAGGACCCCUAAACUCUUGUUUUUUUUAACACUGGCCUCUCUGAGUUUACUGUACUGUAAUAAGUCAAAACUUUCAACAACGGAUCUCUUGGUUCUG
rnacentral:misc_RNA from 1 species